rnacentral:rRNA from 1 species
UACGUAGGGUGCAAGCGUUGUCCGGAAUUAUUGGGCGUAAAGAGCUCGUAGGCGGUUCGUCGCGUCGGCUGUGAAAUCCCGGAGCUCAACUCCGGGUCUGCAGUCGAUACGGGCGGACUCGAGUUCGGCAGGGGAGACUGGAAUUCCUGGUGUAGCGGUGAAAUGCGCAGAUAUCAGGAAGAACACCCGUGGCUAAGGCGGCUCUCUAGUACGGUACUGACGCUGAGACGCGAAAGCGUGGGGAGCGAACAGG